CCAAGAUCUAAUUUUGAGUGAGUCACCAUCUUUCCUUGCCAGAGACCCCCUGCACAGAAGUUGUACUUUGAAAAAGUGAGUAAUUAGGACUUCUUUAUUUUAUCCUUUUUGUUUUUUAUCUGUUGUUGGUGUAAAUAAUUUGUUUAUCAUAUAUUGUUAUAUGCACUGUGAUUAUUUUUUGCUCAUAAUAAACAUUAAUUUAUUAAGUUUUGCCUUUGUCUGGUUAAGAAUCACGUUACCUGAAGAGACUAGUUAGUAUUUUUGCAUUAAGUAUUUUUGUAUUAAGUAAUAUUUGGUGGGUUUUAUUAUUGAUUUACCUGGGGGAUCAAGGCACCCCAUUUAUAAAUUGUCUUGGUGGUGGCAGCGUUAAAAUAGUAAUAGAUAUAUUAUUAUGUUUAAGUGUGGGUGGUGUUAAAAGGGGGAUUUUGUCAUUAUUUCCGGUCUAGUGCAGACAAAUAGUGAACUUUAACCCUUUCACCACCACAACUACGUCACGCACACUCUUGGAGUAGGGUGCGUUCAUGACAGGGUAUAUUACUAGACAAUGGAUUGAUGAAAGCUGUAGAGGCUUGGUACCAUGUAGCAAGAGGUCUCAAAUGGGAGGGAUGGUCAGAAGAGGAAAUUGAUUUUGGAGGGCAAACAAUAUUUGUGUAUCACAUAAAUGUUUGUAAUGAUGAUGAUUCAUCCACUGUUAUUCCCCGGCCACCGCCCUAUGAUGGCGCCCAAAAUGCCACAAGUGAACCAUGUCCCGCCUCCUCAGACACUACCCCAUCUCCGCCCCCCAUUGUUCCACCCCCCGUUGCCAAAGGGCCUCCUACUCCCACCCCUCUGUACCCCGUCCUUGGUGCGGACGGAUCCUACCAUUAUCAUUUCCCUCUCCCACCGUCAGCCAUACCAUCCGCUCUUUCCGUUCCCUCCUCACUCCCAGCCUCUCUCCCUGCUGAUGUUUCCUCACCUCCACUAUCACAGGUCGUUACUGAUGUCGCCCCCUCACCAUCACCAUCCUUCCCCAUUCCUUUCCCCGAUGCCGCUCCUUCCUCACCACUUACUACGUACCUCCCAUUGUUCCAACUCCUGUUCCCACACCCCCGACAUGCAUUGUUCCAUCCGAGACCACACUGGCCCCUCUCCCUGUUAUCCCUUCUGCCCCAAUUUCCUCGUUGCCAUCACCCAUGAUGUCCCCAGCGGUGCCCGUGAUUCCUCCCCCUAUUGUUGCUCCUGCCGCUCCUGUCCCGAUUUCCCCACUCCCUGCUGUCCCUCCGACUCCUGUCCUAGAUUCCUCCUCCUUCCCAUUUCCAAUUCCCUUCCUUCUCCCUCUAUUGACCUCUCAUCCCUUGUCUCAGUCCCCACCACUGCCCUCACUCUUACUCCUCCACCCCUUCCCACUCCUCCUGCCCAGAACCUUCUCCACCCCCCGUAUCCUCUCACCCUAGCUCCUAUUUCUCCACCCCUUUCUACUCCCCCGUUUCCAUUCCAGAACCUUCGUUGCCUCUCACAUCCUCUGCUUCCCCCGACCUUUCCUCUCUCAUUUCGACUCUUGCCGUUUCACUCUCUACUCCCCCUGCCCCCAUUCCAGAGCCUUCACCUCCUGUAUCUUCUCCUUCCCCCGAUCUCUCCUCUCUCAUCUCAGCCCUUGCCGCUUCUCUUAGUUCCACUCCUCCUUCCCUACUCCCUCCCAUUCCUCCUGCUCCUGUUCCAGAACCUUCUCCUCUACCCGUACCCUCUCCUCCCCCUGAUCUUUCGCCACUCAUCUCCACCCUUUCUGCUGCGCUUGCCUCUAAUUCCACUCCUGAUCCUCCACCCUUUCCUACUCCUCUUGCCCCCGUAGUGGAUCCUCCCUCCUCUCCUUGUGAUCUUCCAUUCCUUAUCUUCACCCUCUCCACUCUCCUUACCCCUACCUCCACUCCCACUGUUCCAUCCCCUUCCAUCUCUACAGCUCCCAUGUUAGAACCUCCUCCUCCCCUGAUACCAAUGCUACGUCACUCAUUUCCGCCCUCCUAGCUUUGCUCACUACUCCACCUAUCUCUCCUCCCCCUCCACCUCCUUCUCCACAACCUGCUCUUCCUGCUUCUGUUCCAGAUUCCCCUCCCCCUCCUACUUCUAACCCUGACGUCUCUUCCCACGAUCUCGCGUCACUCAUCUCCUCCCUCUCCAAUCACCUGUCUCAGCUUACUCAACCCACACCCUCACCCGCUCUGGUCCCCGUUCCUGCCCCUCCGAUAAACACCCCCAGUUACCCACUCAUGAUUGUUGGGACAAAUUAGUCUGUCACGUCAGGACAACCUCAGGCUGCUGAUGCUUCCCCUGCUGCCUCAGGUUUCCAUCCCACCACGUCUCAGUUAGUCACCCCCCAGACUAUCGCUGUUGGCCCUCCCGGUUCCAAUACCCUGAUGGCUCCAGUCCCCAACUCACUUGAUGUUGUUAGCUACCAUGGUCUCCCAGUCCCACCUAGGGACGAUAAUGUGCCAGAGCUUAGCCCAUUCCGCCCCUCAAAUAACAGACCUACCCAGAGACAAGCCAUUGCAGCUACUCACCUCCCUACCUCAUCAGCAGUGGAAGGAGCCCCGCCAAUGUAUGUUACAUUUAACCCAUCCCAAGCUGCAACCUUGGUAACUUCUCUCCCCGAUCCAGAGAAACAACCCAUGCCCUUUUUCUGAAGAAUUGCUCAGAUUCGUAAAACAUACUCAGCAGCCUGACGUGAUUUGUAUAGUUUAUGUGAGAUCAAGGCUGGGGAUGCCUACUGGCCAAUUAUGGAAAGGAGUUUUAAUGAUGCAGUACUCACCACUGAUAUGGAUUUUCAGUCGGGCAUUGUUUUCUGUGAGCAACUCAAAGCCUGGGCCCAGGAUAAACUGGCUGACCAGGCCACUUGCAUAAAUGAUAUCAUACAAGACAAACUUGAGUCAGCAGAAAAAUAUCAUUCCAGGUUAACCCAAACAUUUUCUGAUCUUGGAUCCAGUGUAUAUAAUAAAGCACAUACUCAGAUGUUUUCAGCCGCCUUUGUGGCUGGUCUUAAGGAGACUAUCAGGAAAGGCUUAGUGCUUGCACGUCCUGAAUACAGAAUUAUUCCUUUGAACACUCUCUUGUUGGUAGCAAAGGGUUUAGAAUCAGUUCUGCAGCCAACACAGAAGAAAAGUAACCCACUCAUGUUUUCUAACUCUAGCCCUACUAUCAGACCCAGCUUGGGGCCCCAGAAUCAUCCCAGAUUGGCUAUUAUGCCAGGUACACAAGGACAAUCCCCAGCACUCAGACCUCUGGCCAGGGUAUGCUUUAAUUGUAACUUACCAGGUCAUCUCCGCAAGAAUUGCCCACAUCCACAGAUAACUCGCCCACCACCCAUCAGACCUCCUCUGCACCCCAACACCCAUACAGCUGCAUAUGGGGGUCCUCAACAUGGUUUCCCUCCACAGACACAGCCACAAGCACCAUAUUACCCACUGCAGGAUUAUACCCAAGCUAUUUAUCAACCCAGUCAAUUUAACACACACACUCCCCCAGGUACUGCCCAUCAAAAUCAUCAAACAAGUCACCCUACUACACGUCAUUACACUCAGGGCCGUCUUUAACGCGGGGCAAACGGGGCAGCUGCCCCGGGCCCAGUUGCUCCUGGGGGCCCAGAGCAGCUGCACUGUGGGCCCCGCGAUUUGCGCAGCCCCUAUGGACCGGGCGGUGCGGCUCCCGCACACUGAGGAGGCUCCCCGGGUGGCCCAUGCACUAAGGGCCACCUGGGGAGCAUGUGUCAGCAGGGGCCCGGUCGGGCGCUGUGGCGCUUAAACAGCGCGACCGGGCCCCUCUUCCGGUUCUGCAGCCAGCUGGGAGGAAGUGACGUCAUUUCCUCCCACCAGAGAUAGCCGCGCGGGAGGAGGAAGGCAGGGAGGAGGGGAGUUCCAGAGGAGAACUCCCAUCUGCCUCAGCCUGCCACUGGACCAGGGAAACCACCCUCCAGGAAAAGGUAAGAACCUGGAGGGUGGCUAAAUGUAUGUCUGUGUGUGUAUGCCUGUCAGUAUGUCUGUGUGUGUCAGUAUGUCUGUGUGUGUGUCAGUAUGUCUGUGUCUGUAUGUGUCAGUAUGUCUGUGUCUGUCUCAGUAUGUGUGUGUGUCAGUAUGUGUGUGUGUGUCAGUAUGUGUGUGUCAGUAUGUGUGUGUGUCAGUCAGUAUGUGUAUGUGUGUGUGUGUCUGUAUGUCUGUGUGUGUGUGUCUGUAUGUCUGUGUGUGUGUGUCUGUAUGUCAGUAUGUCUGUGUGUGUAUGUCUGUGUGUGUGUGUCAGUAAGUCUGUGUGUGUGUACGUGUAUGUGUGUCAGUAUGUCUGCCAGGAUAUAUUUGUGUGUCAGUGUAUGUGUGUGUCAGUAUGUAUCUGUGAAUGUUUUAAUGUCUGUCUGUGUGUAUGUGCCAGUACGUCUGUCUGUGUGUAUGUCAGUAUGUCUGUGUGUGUAUGUGUAUGUAAGUAAGUACGUCUGUGUGUGUAUGUGUGUGUCAUUCAGUAUGUCUGUCAGUGUAUGUGUCUGUGUGUGUAUGUAUGUAUGUCUGUGUGUCAGUAUGUCUGCCAGGAUAUAUUUGUAUGUCAGUGUAUGUGUGUGUCAGUAUAUAUCUGUGAAUGUUUUAAUGUCUGUCUGUAUCAGCCAUUACGUCUGUCUGUGUAUAUGUCAGUAUGCCUGUGUGUAUAUGUCAGUAUGCCUGUGUGUAUAUGUCAGUAUGCCUGUGUGUGUGUGUGUCAAUGUGUCUGUCAGUGUAUGUGUCUAUGUGUUUUAGUAUAUCUGUCAGUGUAUGUGUUUGUGUGUGUGUCAGUAUAUCUGUUAAUGUAUGUGUCUGUGUAUGUAUGUAUGUAUGUCUGUGUGUGUGUGUCAGUAUAUCUGCCAGUAUAUAUUUGUGUGUAGUGACUGUGUGUGUCAGUAUGUAUCUGUGAAUGUUUUAAUGUCUGUCUGUGUGUGUAUGUGCCAGUACGUCUGUCAGUGUGAUUGCGGGUUGGACGUAAUUGGGGGUUGAGGCAGUGGCAGGGACAGGGCCCAUGGGGCCCAAGAAAAUGCAUUGCCCAGGGUCCUAAUCAUAUUAUAGACGGCCCUGAUUACACUGGCCCUGAUCAGUCUCAUCUAGAUCUCGUACAAUAGGUAACCGGCAAACCUGUGUCUGACACCCCUGUUAUGGCAGUGUCUGCAGUGGACAAAGGGGGGCCCCUAGCUACCGUAGUAUUACCAGUUGAGGGUCAUCCUACUACCUUUCUAGUUGACACAGGUGCAGCCUGUAGUGUUCUCAGAGAACAAGACCUGCCAGAUCCUUCCUACUUUUCUGACCUCAAUGUUUCCUGUGUGGGUGUUGAUGGUAACCCCCAAAACAACCCAUUAACUAAACUCUUGCAUGUUGGUUCUAACAUUCUUUCCCGUUUCGUUGUUUCAUCCACCUGUCCUAUUAACCUCCUAGGAGCUGAUGUGUUGUCUCGCCUUCAGGCUUCUAUCUCCUUCACUGCCGAUGGUCAGGUCCAAUUACUUACUUCACUUUCUCGUGAAGAUACUUCUGUUCUUUUUGGUUUAGAAAAGAGAUGAAAAAAAAAAAAGAAGAAGAAAAGAGCCUUAAAUAACUAGUACCUCCAUGGGGGAUAACCCCUAUUUUGUAAACAGGAAAAAAGGAAGAAGUUGGAGGUGCCAGUACUAUAUCAUUUAACAACCAGGGAAACACUCAGAUGUUGUAAUGAAGACUGAAAUUUUAUGUUAAAACAUCACUUUUAAUAUAUUAGUUAAAAAGUCCCUUACUAGUAGGGACAAUGAAUACACACUAUCACACCAAAAGUUAUGUACAAAAAAUAUUAAUAAUAAUGAUAAAUAAAAAAUAGAAAUAAAUAAAAUAAUUACACAAGAUCAAAGCUAUAUAGCUAUAUAUCUACUGUGGACAUUUAUAGCCCGCUGUAUAUUGUCCUAUGGUGUAAUUGUAAUAGACCACGCGUGUGGAUUUGUGUGUCAAAUACACUUGUUCUCAGAUAAAUUCAUAGAAGGAUAGAUGAAUAUAUGGCUCUGUAAAUGAUAUCUUUGAUAGCAGAUUAAAUGGUUUUAAUAAAUAGACUUAGAAUGAUAUUCCCUAGAUAUUGUUAAAUUUAUUGUUGGCAUUGAUUGCCCUUAAUAUUGGUGCACCGGCUCGCUAAUAUUUAGCUGUUGUGCAAAUUGUACUUAAAGUCUACGGCAGUAACAAUAUGGCUAAUAUAAUUAAACCAUGUAAAAUUACAGUUACCAAAUGCUGAUAACAAAAUCAGCUUGUAGAUGCAUUAGUUGCUGAUUACUGUAACCGUAAUUAACUAUUAGCUGCUGUACUGUCUAAGAUUAAAUUAUAGGAAUUAGCCUAUUCGAUUAACCGUCAGCUUGCACCAGUUCCCGAGACCCCAAAAGGAAAAGUUUAAACAUAGGUUAUCUACAGUUGCAAGAAAAAGUAUGUGAACCCUUUGGAAUUAUAUGGAUUUCUGCACAAAUUGGUCAUAAAAUGUGAUCUGAUCAUCAUCUAAGUCACAACAAUAGACAAUCACAGUCUGCUUAAACUAAUAACACUCAAAGACUGAACUGCUGCCAUGUUUUUAUUGAACACACCAUGUAAACAUUCACAGUGCAGGUGGAAAAAGUAUGUGAACCCCUAGACUAAUGACAUCUCCAAGAGCUAAUUGGAGUGAGAUGUCAGUCAACUGGAGUCCAAUCAAUGAGAUGAGAUUUGAGAUGUUGGUUACAGCUGCCCUGCCCUAUAAAAAACACACACCAUUUCUGGGUUUUCUUUUCACAAGAAGCAUUGCCUGAUGUGAAUGAUGCCUCGCACAAAAGAGCUCUCAGAAGACCUACGAAUGAGAAUUAUUGACUUGCAUAAAGCUGGAAAGAGUUAUAAAAGUAUCUCCAAAAGCCUUGCUGUUCAUCAGUCCACGGUAAGACAAAUUGUCUAUAAAUGGAGAAAGUUCAGCACUGCUGCAACUCUCCCUAGGAAUGGCCGUCCUGUAAAAGCGACUGCAAGAGCACAGCGCAGACAGCUCAAUGAGGUGAAAAAGAAUCCUAGAAUGUCAGCUAAAGACUUACAAAAGUCACUGGCAAAUGCUAACAUCCCUGUUAGCGAAUCUACAAUACGUAAAACACUAAACAUGAAUGGAUUUCAUGGGAGGAUACCACAGAGGAAGCCACUGCUGUCCAAACAAAACAUUGCUACACGUUUACAGUUUGCACAAGAGCACCUGGAUGUUCCACAGCAGUACUGUCAAAAUAUUCUGUGGACAGAUGAAACCAAAGUUGAGUUGUUUGGAAGAAACACACAACACUAUAUGUGGCAAAAAAAAAAGCACAGCACACCAACAUCAAAACCUCAUCCCAACUGUGAAGUAUGGUGGUGGGGGCAUCAUGGUUUGGGGCUGCUUUGCUGCAUCAGGGCCUGGAUGGAUUGCUUUCAUCGAAGGAAAAAUUAAUUCCCAAGUUUAUCAAGACAUUUUGCAGGAGAACUUAAGGCCAUCUGUCUACCAGCUGAAGCUCAACAGAAGAUGGGUGUUGCAACAGGACAAUGACCCAAAGCAUAGAAGUAAAUCAACAACAGAAUGGCUUAAACAGAAGAAAAUACGCCUUCUGAAGUGGCCCAGUCAGAGUCCUGACCUCAACCCGAUUGAGAUGCUGUGGCAUGACCUCAAGAAAGCGAUUCACACCAGACAUCCCAAGAAUAUUGCUGAACUGAAACAGUUCUGUAAAGAGGAAUGGUCAAGAAUUACUCCUGACCGUUGUGCACGUCUGAUCUGCAACUACAGGAAACGUUUGGUUGAAGUUAUUGCUGCCAAAGGAGGUUCAACCAGUUAUUAAAUCCAAGGGUUCACAUACUUUUUCCACCUGCACUGUGAAUAUUUACAUGGUAUGUUGAAUAAAAACAUGGCAACAUUUCAUUCUUUGUGUGUUAUUAGUUUAAGCAGACUGUGAUCGUCUAUUGUUGUGACUUAGAUGAUGGUGAUCCGAUCACAAUUUAUGACCAAUUUGUGCAGAAAUCCAUAUCAUUCCAAAGGGUUCACAUACUUUUUCUUGCAACUGUAUAUCGAGUAGCUACCAAAAUAUAUAAGUGCUAUAGCUAAGUCCUUAAUAUCUUAUAUUUUCGUUCCUAAAAUAUUGGACGGUUAAUCGAAUAGGCUAAUUCCUAUAAUUUACAAGUGUAUUUUACACACAAAUCCACACGCGUGGUCUAUUACAAUUACACCAUAGGACAAUAUACAGUGGGCUAUAAAUGUCCACAGUAGAUACAUAGCUAUAUAGCUUUGAUCUUGUGUAAUUAUUUUAUUUAUUUCUAUUGUUUGUUUAUUAUUUUUUAUUUAUUAUUCUUAUUAUUUUUUGUACAUAAAUUUUGAUGUGAUAGUGUGUAUUCAUUGUCCUUACUAGUAAGGGACUUUUUAACUAAUAUAUUAAAAGUGAUGUUUUAACAUAAAAUUUCAGUCUUCAUUAUAACCUCUGAGUUUUUCCCUGGUUGUUAAAUGAUUUAGUACUGGCACCUCCAACUUCUUCCUUUUUUCCUGUUUACUUCUGUUCUUUGCUCUUUACCCCUGCUCAUGCACAUGACAUCCCCCACAAAGGAACCAAGGGUCCCCCAUGCCUCCAGUGCGCUAGAUGCGAUCCCAACUAAACUUUGGUCUACAGGCCCAGAUGAUAUUCCCACCUGUGGUAGUCACACAGUCAUUGAAGGAGCUCAUCCACCACGACGACCACAGUACAUAGUUACAUAGUUACAUAGUUACAUAGCUGAAAAGAGACUUGCGUCCAUCAAGUUCAGCCUACCUCACAUUUGUUUUUUGCCUUUGAUCCAAAAGAAGGCAACAAAAACCCAGUUUGAAGCACAAUUUUGCAACAAGCUAGGAAAAAAAUCCUUCUUGACCCCAGAAUGGCAGUCAGAUUUAUCCUUGGAUCAAGCAGUUAUUACCCUACAUUGAAAGAUUAUAUCCUUGAAUAUUCUGUUCUUGCAAGUAUGCAUCUAGUAGCCGUUUGAACAUCUGUAUGGACUCUGAUAAAACCACUUCUUCAGGCAGAGAAUUCCACAUCCUGAUUGUUCUUACAGUAAAAAACCUUUCCUUUGCCUUAGACGAAAUCUUCUUUCUUCCAGUCUAAACGCAUGGCCUCGUGUCCUAUGUAAAGUCCGGUUUGUGAAUAGAUUUCCACACAAUGGUUUGUAUUGGCCCCGAAUAUAUUUGUAUAAUGUUAUCAUAUCCCCUCUCAGGCGACGUUUUUCUAAACUAAAUAGAUUUAAAUUUGUUAACCUUUCUUCAUAGCCGAUAUGUUCCAUUCCUUUUAUUAAUUUUGUAGCCCGCCUCUGCACUUUUUCUAGUACCAUAAUAUCCUUCUUUAGAACAGGUGCCCAAAAUUGCACAGCAUAUUCAAUAUGGGGUCUUAUCAGUGAUUUAUAAAGAGGCAAAAUUAUAUUCUUGUCCCAAGAAUGAAUGCCUUUUUUCAUGCAUGACAAUACCUUACUGGCCUUGGCCACUGCUGAUUGACAUUGCACAUUGUUGCAUAGUUUGUUGUCUAUAACAAUUCCCAAGUCCUUUUCAUGUGUUUUCAUCUCUAAUUCGCUUCCAUUAAGGGUAUACGUUGCUUGUGUAUUCUUUACGCCGAAGUGCAUAACUUUGCAUUUUUUAACAUUAAAUUUCAUCUGCCAUUUGAGUGCCCAGUCCCCCAGUCUAUCUAAAUCCCUCUGCAGCAAAGUAAUAUCUUGCUCACAUUGUAUUGUUUUACAAAGUUUUGUGUCAUCUGCAAACACUGAAACAUGACUUUCAAUGCUGUCUUCAAGAUCAUUUAUAAACAUGUUAAAUAGAAGGGGUCCCAGAACAGACCCCUGAGGGACACCACUUGCCACCUCUGUCCAGCUUGAAAAUUUACCAUUAAUGACAACUCUUUGUACUCUGUUUUUAAGCCAAUGUUCUACCCAAGAACAAGCAUUUUCAUCUAGACCGAUUUCCUUGAGUUUGAACACUAAUCUAUUGUGUGGAACUGUAUCAAAUGCCUUGUCAAAAUCCAAAUAGAUCACAUCCACGGCAACACCCUGAUCUAUACUUCUACUUACUUCUUCGUAGAAUGCAAUCAAGUUAGUUUGACAUGACCUGUGCUUCAUAAAACCAUGCUGAUUUUUGCUGAUAACCAUGUUCUUCUCAAGGAAUUCUUGAAUAUUAUCCCUUAAUAACCUUUCAAAUAUUUUACCAGCCACAGAAGUUAAGCUCACAGGUCUAUAAUUUCCAGGCAAGGAUUUUGAACCCUUUUUGAAUAUAGGAACCACAUCUGCCUUCCUCCAAUCCUCCGGAACACUUCCUGAAAGAAAAGAAUCUUGAAAGAUUAAAAACAGAGGUUCACUUAUUUCUGCACUUAGUUCCUUAAGUACACGUGGAUGGAUACCGUCAGGCCCUGGAGCUUUGUUUAUAUUAACUUUCUUUAGUUGCUGCAGCACCUUGUCUUGAGUUAACCAAUUACAAUUAUUCUGCAAGUUUUUAGUAGCAAUCAUUUGCACAUCUAUUGCCAUGGGUUCUUCCUUAAUAUAUACGGAGGAGAAAUAGUUAUUUAAAAUUCCUGCCUUUUCCUGGUCUUCAUUAACUAACACCCCCGUUUCAGUUUUUAGUGUACCUACACUUUCAUUUUGUUUUUUUUUAGAAUUUAUGUACUUAAAAAAUGCUUUGGGGUUGGUUUUGCUCUCUUCAGCUAUCAUUAUUUCAUUUUGAAGUUUAGCAAGUCUAAUUGCCUUUUUGCACGCAUUAUUUGCAUCCUUAUAUCUUUUAUAAGAUGCAUCUGAUUUGUCCGAUUUAAAUGCUUUAAAUGCCCUUUUCUUAGUUGUAAUCUCUUGUUUUACUUCUCUACUAAGCCACAUUGGUUUUAAUUUGUUUCUUUUAUAUUUAUUUCCCAACGGUACAUACUGAGAAAUGUACCUUUGUAAUAUUUGUUGGAAGAUGAUCCAUUUAUCCUCAGUGUUCUUUUCACUAAAGAGUUUAUGCCAGUCAAUAUAUUGUAAAGCUUCCCUUAACUUAUUGAAAUUGGCCUUUUUAAAAUUAUAUGUUUUAGUAUUCCCCAUGUGCUUUUGUUUUUUUGAGUUUAUUUCAAAGGACACUAUAUUGUGAUCACUAUUUCCCAAGUGCUCACCUACUUGAAUGUUGGUCAAAAGAUCAACGCUGUUUGUUAAAACCAGGUCCAGACAAGCAUCCAUUCUAGUUGUGUACAAGUUGUGACAUGAAGGUGUCAUUUAACAAGUUUAAAAACCUAAUUCCCUUUGCUGAGGCACUAGUCCCUCUGUCCCAAUUUAUAUCCGGGUAAGUACCCAUUGAAACAUGCACAAGCUCUUGCCAUCUCGAAACAAGUUGAAAGUCUGGUUGCAAAAGAUGCUUUAAUCAAAUGUGUUUCACAGUGUAAUACUCCCCUGUUUCCUGUAAAGAAGAAAACUGAUUAAAAAAAAGGCCAACCAGACCAAUAUCGCAUGGUCCAGGAUCUCCGUGUUGUCAAUGAGGUUACUAAACGGGACACGGCUGUCGUUCCAAAUCCGCAUACAUUGUUGUCACAAGUGCCUUCAACUGCUAAAUUCUUCACAGUGGUUGAUCUUGCAAACACCUUCUUCAGUGUGCCUUUGGAUCCCUCAUGUGAGUAUUUAUUCGCUUUCACACAUGACCGCCAGCAAUUUACAUGGACUGUUAUGCCUCAAGGUGCGCAAAAUCCUCCAACGCAAUUUGCAAAAGCAAUGUCUAUUGUACUUGAACCCUGGCAGAAAUCUCACCCAGAUGUGGUCCUGCUCCAGUAUGUUGAAGAUUUACUGCUCUGUACAGAUGACUUUCCAACAGCUGAACGCCACUCUGUGGAUCUUCUCUGUUUCCUCGCAGAAGAAGGUUGCAAAGCCUCCAAAGCUAAACUCCAGUUGUGCUGGCCCACAGUGGUAUUCUUGGGACAUUGUCCUUCCCAUGGCACCCGUCACCUGACAAGAGACAAAGUUCAUGCAAUCACAAAUCUUCCCCUUCCAUCUACUCACCAGGCUCUCCAAGCCUUCCUGGGCCUCAUUACUUACUGCAAAUUUUGGAUUCCUGAGGCCUCUCAACUCAUGCAACCCCUCUACGACGCCUUGAAGACUGAACCCUUCACAUUGUCCUCCACAGCCUGCAGUUGAUACUUUGCUCUACAAAGGGCAAUCUCUUCGGCCCCUGCUCUGGGCCUCCCUAACUACCAGUUGCCAUUCAUGCUUUUUGUCUCUGAGAAUAUGGGCCAUGCCUCAGGGGUGCUUACUCAAUCUCAUGGGCUCUGGCAGUGUCCCAUAGGGUACUUUUCCUGCAUGCUUGACCCCGUAGCCAGAGGAGGUCCUUCCUGUUUGCAUGCUGUUUUCGCUGCAAGUGCCCUCCUGGAUAAAACUAAUGAUUUUGUUCUUGGACACAAACUGACUGUUCUGGCUCCACAUGACAUCGCUGCUAUUCUGAAUCAAGUCCAACUGAAACAUCUUUCCUGUCAGAGAUGUCUUCAAACUUCUCUUCUUUUACCAGACAACGUUACCAUACAACGAUUUUAUUCUUUGAAUCCGGCCACUCUUCUGCCACUUCCCAAGGGGGGAGUUCCACAAUACUGGUACAGUUUGCAUAUACAUCCUGAUGUUUACAUGGAACUACAAAUUGAAAAGCCCACAAUUCCACAUGAUGAACAACCCGAGACCCAACUACAUUGCACCCUGUGGUUUCGAGAUACUCCAGAUCCUGACUCAUACUAUGAAGAAGAAUUGUUUAGCCUGGUGGAGGUGCAGAUUACACUGACAGAUCUGUUCUGUGACUUCAAGGGGAACAUUGUCAUCCUAGUCUGUCUACCAAUGGAGGUAUCACAUUUGUAUCACCAUUGGGAGGUGGCUGUUCCUCAUGUUUCUUUCACCAAGUCUCCAGAUAUCUCAUGGAAAGAACAAAAACAAGAAUAAUAGGUUGCGCUACGUAAAUAUCAAAUGAAAAAGGGAUAAAUAUGGCAAAACACUUUAAAACGUAAAAGAGGAAUAAUAUGUAUAAAGAAAAGGGGAUUUAAUAAAUAUAUAUAACAAAUAUAUAUAUAAAAAAAGAUAGUCCAAAUUCUUGAUAUAAUUUAAAAAGUUCAAAUAAGUGGAUGAUAGUGACAGUACUUGGUAUAUUUCUCUUUCAGGUUCCGGUAAGUAUUUGGAGGUAGAAAGUCCAAUAAGAGACUGAAUCUUCUAAUCUUUAGAGGAGUCUUGAUUCAGAGAUGAACAUGGAAAAUAUAAGCAACAAAGACGAUCCAAUAGUGUAGACUGUCUGUGAUAAAUAAUAAUAAUAAUAGGUAGGUAGUACAUUCACCUAUCUUAGAGCAUGAACUUGCUCUAGUAUGUUGGGCGUUCAGUGGCGUUUAUCCCCCACUGGUAGGAUAUAGGUGAAGGUAAUUCCUCGGUAAUAAAAAGGAGAUAAAAGCAGAAUAUAGUGCUCACUGAAUCAAAAUGAAAUAAAGUGAAAUAAAAGGAAUAAAAAUACUCACAUUCGAAUGAGCAGGAUAAACUGCUCAGUAUAUUCGCAUAGGUGGUACAAUCCCCACCAAGGAUUCUUGGUCGUGGGUAGAUUCCAAGUUGGUGAAUGACCAGGUGACAGGAAAUAUUUUUAAAACAAAAUUAUUUAAAAAUAAGAUAAAAAGGUAUAUGGCAAAAUUGAUGUAAAAAAGCCACUAUUCCUUUAUUAGUACAAUAAAAAAUAUAUAAAAUAGCCAAAACGCAUUUCGCCACACAGGGCUUUAUCAACUGGCAAUAAUAAAAAUCAGCCUGGUACAUAGAUACUUUUAUAAACUAUGAUAAAACAUGCUUAUUCAAAUUUUGGCGCCAAAAUGACGUCAUCCAUACAGUGUGUAAAAAGCAAAAUGAUUAAUAACAUAAAAAUACAUAAAAAUACAAAAUGCAUAGUAUUCAUAAUUUAAAAUGUAAAGUAAUACAUAAUAUUUAAUAAUAAAACGAGUGUUAUUUGUUGAAAUAAUAGAUAGAAUCAAAAAUCAUGUGAUCGCAAUCUAAUGCGAUCACAUGGUGAACACUGAGGCAAUAUGGGAAAUGGAGUGACAGGGGAGAAAGCAAAAAUAGAUGGUCACGUGAUCGCGGACCUUCGCGAUCACGUGACUGAUUGCACACAUCGAUAUAGGGUGUAGCCGCUCAGACGGAGGUCGGCAGCCUACGGCACGCCUCCGUCUGACAUCAAUGGUGGGGGCGGUGUAUACCGCGAGUGCUCAUGGGGUGUGUAGUGUUCAGACGGGGGCCGGCAACUAGGGGCACGCCUCCGUCUGACAUCUACAAAAAAGGGGCGGCGCCUAAUGCCGUUCGUGAUCCACCUUGUAAAAAAAUAAAAAUAAGUGGCAUAACAGCCAAAAUUAGAACUAUUAUGAAUAAAACAAAUAUGAAUAUACAGAACAAAUAUAAGUAUAAAAACAAAUAUGAGUAUGUGAAGGAAUAAGAAAAAGGAAUAAUAGAACUAAAAAAAGUGAAAGGUGUAUUUAGGAGCUAAAUAGCUAGGUAUAUAUUGUUAACCUUAUAAAUAAAUGAAGGGUAAAAAGUGAGAUAUAUAAUAAAAAAUAAAAUAUAAAAUAUAAAAAUAAAAAUAAAAAUAAUUUUAUAAAAAAUUAAAAAGGUCAAAUUCAGCGUUCAAGCCCUCAGGAAAAAGAGUCUUAAGUGUAAAAACCCAAUACAUUUCUCUUUUGCCUAAAGUUUUUAUAAUAUCUCCACCUCUCCAUGGGAGAGUGACUUGUUCUAUACCAGUUACUUUUAGGAGUGUCGGAUCUUUAUUAUGUAUUAAAAAAUGCUUGGAAACUGAGUGAUUCUCAUAACCUCUCCUAAUGUUACGGCAAUGUUCUGCUAGUCUCACUUUAAGGCAUCUUUUAGUCAUGCCCACAUAUUGGAGCCCGCAUGGACAUUCCAAUAAAUAUAUCACAUUUUUGGUAUUACAACCUAUAUAUUCUUUAAUGGUGUAGGAGGUUUUAGUAAUAUUAGAUUACUUUAUUUCAUUUUGAUUCAGUGAGCACUAUAUUCUGCUUUUAUCUCCUUUUUAUUACCGAGGAAUUACCUUCACCUAUAUCCUACCAGUGGGGGAUAAACGCCACUGAACGCCCAACAUACUAGAGCAAGUUCAUGCUCUAAGAUAGGUGAGUGUACUACCUACCUAUUAUUAUUAUUAUUUAUCACAGACAGUCUACACUAUUGGAUCGUCUUUGUUGCUUAUAUUUUCCAUGUUCAUCUCUGAAUCAAGACUCCUCUAAAGAUUAGAAGAUUCAGUCUCUUAUUGGACUUUCUACCUCCAAAUACUUACCGGAACCUGAAAGAGAAAUAUACCAAGUACUGUCACUAUCAUCCACUUAUUUGAACUUUUUAAAUUAUAUCAAGAAUUUGGACUAUCUUUUUUUAUAUAUAUAUUUGUUAUAUAUAUUUAUUAAAUCCCCUUUUCUUUAUACAUAUUAUUCCUCUUUUACGUUUUAAAGUCUUUUGCCAUAUUUAUCCCUUUUUCAUUUGAUAUUUACGUAGCGCAACCUAUUAUUCUUGUUUUUGUUAUUUCUCUUUUGAGGACUUCAGAGGGAACCUCAUACCUAUAGGCUGCAGCUUUCCACUUGAUCACAUCACACAGCGCUGAUCCAUUUUCUACCUACACCUAUCUCAUGGAAAGAACUCGGGCCAAUGGCCAAAGAAUGGAGCACUGCAACACAAGAACAACUCACAGUGACGGGGGUCACUAAGACGACCAUAAAUUGCAAAACUAUCGGUUACCCCCGAUAGUAUGCAGAGAUAUGUGAAGAUGUGCCUCCUACAGAACCAGACCCAGAAGCUCCACAUGAUUGCUUUGAACAGAUGAAGAUGGAAACCACCCAUCUUCCCACAGUGCACGAAACUGCCUUGCCAAACCCUGACUACACGCUGUUUGUGGAUGGUUCCAGAUUCGCAGAAGAAAAGGGUCAAAACCAUACCGGAUAUGCAGUCACCACAGAAGACCAAAUACUUCAAGCAUCCUCACUUCCCUCCUCCAAAUCAGCCCAAGAAGCCGAGUUGAUAGCCCUCACAGUGGCAUGCAGAAUAUCAGAAGGGAAGCGUGUCAACAUUUAAACAGACUCCAGGUAUGCCCUAGGAGUAGCGCAUGACUUUUGCUUAAUCUGUAAGACCAGGGGAUUUCUUAUAGCAACAGGUACUCCUGUAAAACAUGGUCGACCAUCAAUAAGUUAAUGGACGUCUUACUACUGCCAGAGGAAGUAGCUAUACUAAAAGUCAAGUCCCAUGGGAAAUUGAAUUCAGAAGAAGCCCAUGGUAACCAUCUGGGCUACCAAGCAGCUAAAGAUGUAGCGCGCCGGAAUUUGGAAGUAGACAGAAGAGUGUCCGAUGAAAGGACCCCUGUUUACACCAUGCAAACCCUACCCACUGACCUCAGAUUCCUAAGAGACCAACAGGCCGCUGCUACCCCACAGGAAAAACAAAGCUGGAAGGAUAAAGGAGCAAUCAUUCAGAAUGAUAUAUAUAUAUAUAUAUAUAUAUAUAUAUUGUGAUAAGGUGAAUGGGGUGGUCUGUGAGGGAGUUUAUAUUUCGACUGAAUUGUUCAGAGAGGCAUAUGAUUUUUAACCUCAGGGGGAGUGUGUGUCUGUGUGUAUAUAACUGAAAUGAAUAUUUAGUUAUGGGCCCCUGGGGUGGAGAAUUUGGAGAGCAGGGUGGGCCAGUGCUCCACUCCGCAGUUUAGCGGUUUUCUUGGGAGACAUAGAUCCAGGUCAGGGUUUUUGGACUGUCUCCAACCCACUGCUCAGCUGCAGGUAAUCAGCUGCAGCAGUGGGAAUAAACCCCUCCCUGCUAGGCAGGUAGGAGAGAAUGUUUGUUUCUCUUUUGAAGGGAUGGAAGCAGCAGGCUGACUAAACACUGGAGUGCUGAGAGCUAACAAAGACACUAGGUUGGUGAAACCAGUAUUAUUUGUUAUAGUUUAACCCCUGAGAGAUAGGGAAUCUAAAGUUAGUUAGUGCUCAGACGAGCUAGGUUUUUGUUUAUAGGGAUUUUGUUACAUUAUUGUUUUUUUCAUUUACUACUGUCUGUGUGGAUUUACAAAUAAAGUGCCUGGAAUUAAUUUACUUUUAAAGACUGUGCAUGUUUGUACCCAAAAGGACCGUGCUAACUGCAGACAAGGAUCACAAUAUAUACAAUCAACCUUAAAGUCUGUCUACCCAAGAAUAUGUACCCGGCUGUUGUCCAAUGGGCUCAUGGACCAGCACAUUUGUCAAAACAACUCAUUAACUCUUUGAUUGACAAGUAUUUCAAAGCACCUGGGAUCACUACCUUAACUCGAAACUACUGCCGGUCCUGUACUAUCUGUGCUAAAUGCAACCCAGGAAAAAUAAUCAAAGCUGCACCGAAUCAUUUGGCCAAACCACAAUAUCCCUUCCAAAGGAUCCAAAUUGAUCAUAUCCAAAUGCUGAAGAGCGGCCGUUACAAGUAAGCAUUGGUCAUAGUGGAUAUGUUUUCAGGGUGGCCAGAAGCUUUCCCAGUUGAUCAACCUUACUGCAAAAACUACCACAAAACACCUACUCACCGAAAUUAUCUGCAGAUACGGAAUCCCCGAAGUAAUUGAAAGUGACCAAGGUACAUCUUUCACCGCAUUACUGACCCGAGAAAUCUGGGCAGCACUGGGGGUGACCCUUGCUUUCCAUGCACCCUAUCACCCACAGAGUAGUGGUAAGGUAGAACGCAUGAAUGGGACUCUGAAAGCCAGAAUGCUCAAAAUGUCACAGGAAACUAAUUUGCCCUGGCCGGAGAGUCUCCCCAUAGCACUCUUUAGUGUAAGGUACACCCCAAGAGGGAAGUUUAACUUAUCCUCCUACGAGCUUUUGUUUGGGACAGCACCCAGGUUAGGCUGUUACUUUCCACAACAACUUCAACUUCAGUCAGAUGCAAUGGUAGAUUAUAUAACUGCACUUUCUCAUGCCUUGACCAAAAUCCAUGCAGAGGUGUUUUUUUCUAUUCCAGAUCCAGAAUCCAAUACAGGCACGCACAAGUUAUUACCUGGUGAUUGGGUUAUGGUCAAGAAGUUCCUAAGAAAACCUACUCUUGAGCCAAGGUUUGAUGGUCCAUUCCAAGUACUACUGACUACAGCUACCUCUGUAAAGUUGGAUGGGAAGAACACUUGGAUACACGCUUCACACUGUAAGAAGGUUCCUGAUCCAGAGCAAGCGGAUCCCAUCCCAACAUGAGCCUUUUAUAUUUAUGUUUGCUGCUAGGCCUCUUAGAGGCCCAACAAGUUGCUAUUACCAAAGAUAAUCAUGUUUACACAUUUUGGUACAAUUGUUCCAACACACUGGUGGCUACAUUUACUUUUGAUUACUGUGAUAUUGUUACUUGUACUUUCCCACAAUCACAACACUCAGCAAUAUAUAAAGACAUACCAAACAAGAAGGACCCAUACAUUUGUGUAACGGGUGGUCAUUGGGGACAUCACUGUAGCUCAUGGAAAGCAGCGGGUUGGAACACGGACCGACCAUGGGGUUACAGACCACAGAGUGCCUUAGACCGAGUUGACAGACAUGGGAAACCCCUGUUAUACCGAAUGACCUUGUGUAAACCAACAGGGUCUACUCCAAUAAAAUUAACCUUAAACAUAGAACAUCCCAGCCCAGGUGACGCUGGGGAAUAUGUAAUGGGAAUGUAUUGGAAAGGGGGUGGCUCAUACAACAAGUUGGGAACAUUUUAUUUGCAAGACAUGCUUACAUCACCUGACUGGGUAGGAUUAACACACAUGACAGUAAAUCCCCUGAAACCACACAUCAAGACUCUCAAGGACAUGGUGGCUAUUGCCAAUCCCACAUUUGAAGACACUAUGGCUGUGGAGACUGUUUUUUUUCAGAUACUAAUCUAUGGCUUGAAUGGAUGAGGUACAAUGCUAACUCUCAUAAUAAAACCAACUGUUAUGUUUGUGGUGGAGCUAGGCCCCACCUAGGUACAGUGCCUCUAAAUCUACCCCCCGAUGUUGAAACAUGUUUCUUAAGCCUCUAUGCACAAACGAUUGUAAAUUCAUCAGCAUGUGAGUCAUGGAUGAAGGCUUACCCAAUUACUCAAGGGAACACCAGACCACCGGAUGGAGUCACAGUGUACCCAGGUAAUUACACUUGCUAUACAAUGCACGUAGCCACAGGUAGAUUCAUAGGCAAAUUUCCUUCUGGUUACUGUGCAAUUUACCAGAAUUCACCCACAACAUUAUUAGUGAAUCAGAUUAAGUCCAUGGGAGACAUUUAUUGGUUAUGUGGUGACAUGCAACUCAGGUCAAAAAUGACUGGUUUAUGGUGGGGAGAAUGUACUCUAACUAAAGUUAUUAUGCCCAUCCAUAUCUUCCCUGACAACCACCAAGGUCCAUAUGAUUCAUCAUAUACACAUCUUAGAGUAAAAAGAGAAAUCCCUAUUCAAGGUAGUUUUGACCCACAUGUAUAUAUAGAUGCCAUUGGAGUACCUAGGGGGGUACCAAAUGAGUUCAAGGCCAGAGAUGAAGUGGCGGCAGGAUUCGAAUCCUUGAUCCCACUUAUCACUGCUAAUAAGAAUGUUAACUGGAUCAAUUACAUCUACUACAACCAACAACGCUUUGUCAACGACACUCGAGAGGCCCUACAGGGCUUAGCCGAACAGUUACAGGCUACCUCUCACAUGACGUUCCAAAACAGGAUAGCCUUAGACAUGAUCUUGGCCGAAAAGGGGGGCGUAUGUAAAAUAUUCCCUGAGACGAUACCGGUCCUAAUGCUAAGAUAACAUGGCCAUAGAGAAAUUAGAAAAUCUCUCUGAUGAAUUAAAGAAAAACUCAGGGGUUCCCAACUCUUGGGAUAAAUGGUUUGAAUGGAUGAGUGGAUGGCAAAGGACUCUUUUCAAAUAGGGAUGGCAGUUCUUACCGUAAUGAUCUUCUUCCUCUUUCUAACCUGUUGUGUGGUACCAUGUGUGCAAAGGUACUUACAAAAGACCAUUGACCGCACCACACCCAUAUAUCUACACCAAGAUGCUGAUGGUAUUGACUGUGACACUCCACACACACCACUUCAGUCCCAUUAUUUCAAACAGACAACAACUACUACCACUUUAUAGGGACAGUAUAGGGAUAUCGUCUGUCUCUACGGGCAGGAGUCUGACGCAGGAGAUGUAGUGGGUUAGCCACUGCGUAAUACCUGCGCACUGAAGUGUUUGAGGCCUGUUAAAACAGAUGAGCUGCAGCCAAAUUAGGGACAUUAUUACGGUUAGCUAGUAGUUGGCUGUCUUUUCUUUCCUUCCUUUCGUAAAUAGUCCUUUUAAGGGGGGACUGUUGUGGACAAAAAUAUGAACCCAAUUUAUAUUAGUAAAAUGCCUAUUUACUCAACAUAGCUACAAUCAGCAUUAUCCGAUUUUCUAUGUGAUUAUCUAAAAUGGCCGCUAGGGAGUUUCCCCUCUAACACCUACUGACACUCUCAUUAGCAAGAUGGCGCUGGAAUCUGGGGGAGACCUCCACGAUGCCAGUGACAUCACCCUCAGUAGGCAGAGCAUUAAAUGAACCACUUAACACCUAACCAAUUAUUUAUGUAUUAUUUCAUGUUAUCUCUGACAAUGCUUAUGAUGUAAUUUUGCUUUAAAAGGGAUAUGUCGUCCACUCUGAAUAAACAUUCCUCAAGUUUUUCAUUAACCCGA